UACGAAGGGGGCUAGCGUUGCUCGGAAUCACUGGGCGUAAAGCGCACGUAGGCGGACUCUUAAGUCGGUGGUGAAAUCCUGGAGCUCAACUCCAGAACUGCCUUCGAUACUGGGAGUCUCGAGUCCGGGAGAGGUGAGUGGAACUGCGAGUGUAGAGGUGAAAUUCGUAGAUAUUCGCAAGAACACCAGUGGCGAAGGCGGCUCACUGGCUCGGUACUGACGCUGAGGUGCGAAAGCGUGGGGAGCAAACAGG
rnacentral:rRNA from 1 species